rnacentral:lncRNA from 1 species
AGUUAUGUUUCAACACUUCACAUCAUGAUUGCUUUCUGUGUGAUUUCCCUUUUCUUUCCCCUGUGUGGGUCAGUGCCAUUGUCUGGAUGGAUUCAGUCCCCUGGACAUCCACUAGGUUAUGAACCUUAUUCCAAUAUGACUUGGAAAGAGUGUGCUCCGGCUGGACACAGAAUCACACUCACUCUCACACAUGUAGACCUGGAGGAAAGCUUUAACUGUGAGGAUGACGCCUUGAAGGUAUUUUCAGAUGAGGAGCUUCUUGUUAAUCUGUGUGCACGCAUGAACAUGAAGGAGCUGCAGACAUCUGUCAACCCUUUCCUUCACUCCUCCUCUGGCGGUUGUCUCUCUGUUUCAUUUCUCUCUGACUACUCAAACCCGGAGAGACACACUGGAUUUCGAGGCUUUUACACUAUUCGGGAUGUUGAUGAGUGUCAGGACCCUGAGAACGAGUGCACUCAACUCUGCAACAACUACAUUGGAGGUUAUCGUUGUUUUUGCAGACCAGGUUACUUUAUGGACUCUAAUAAUCACACCUGCCAAGUUAGCUGUAGUAAAAAUUACACAGGCUCUUUAAAAGGUGAGCUGAAGUCGCCACACUGGCCCAGUCCAUAUCCAGAAAACUCUUUGCUCUUACAUACUGGCUGUAGAAGAAGGCCUGCAGUUUGAGCUGACGUUCACAGGGACGUUUGACGUGGAAAAGGCAGACAAUGGACGGUGCAUCGACUCAUUAACCAUAAAACCUCUCAUUGGUGAAGCUAAAACAUAUUGUGGAAAAGAUCUUCCUUCUUCCUUUCUCACAAGGUCUGAGAGUGUUGAGAUUACUUUUAGGACUGACCAUAAAGGAACAAACCGAGGGUUUCGCCUUAGUUAUAAAACUAAAGAGAUGAAAUGUAUUGGACCUGUGACGCCAACAUCUAGUUUGUUGCCACAGCUUCAUGAAUAUCCCACAUAUGGCAAAGUUACAGUGACAUGUGACAAAGGACAUGUAUUAAUAAGUGAAUUAGCUGAGGUUAAGAACCUGUAUGAAUCCACAUGCCAGAAAAAUGGACAGUGGAGUCCGGUUAUCCCCUGUGAACCUGUAGAUUGUGGUGUUCCAGAACAUUUUGAAUUAUUGGAGCUCUCAGAAAAUGAUCCUCAAACAACUUUUAUGAAACAAAUCAGUCUCAAGUGCAAAUCUAAAUUUUAUCAACUGGAUACAAAUGCUAUUUUUACAUGCAACGCCGAAGGUAACUGGGUGUCUGAGAAUGGUGACAUUUUAACAAAAGAUUUUCCUAAAUGUGAACCAGUAUGUGGAAUGAACACAGAGGACUCUUUUGGUGGAAGAGUCUUUGGCGGGAAGCGAGCACAACCAGGACAGAUUCCAUGGCAGCUCUUACAUAAGUUCAACCCUAGAGGUGGUGCAUCUCUGAUCAGUGAUUACUGGGCUCUGACAGCUGCUCAUGUAGUGGAUGGAUAUGAAAGCAAAACCAUGAGUUGGUUAGGGGGAAUAACUGAUGGUCUGGACGAAAAACAAGUCGCUAUGGUGACUGAAAAAAUAAUCAUUCAUCCAAAAUAUAAUAAAGUUGGGCUUGAAUUGGGAAAAAACCAAACAAACUUUGAUAAUGACAUUGCUCUGAUGAAAAUGUCUGCCAGGGUGCCUCUAGGUACAAACAUCAGGCCGGUGUGCUUGCCAAACAAAAGAGACGAAGCUGUGAUGGAGGGCACAGUCUCAGGUUUUGGAGGACUAGAAAGAAAGAAUUUGAGUCGAUAUCUGCUUUAUGGUCCAGUCCAGAUAUAUCCACUUGUUGAAUGUAAAUCGGGAGGUUCAAAAGUCACCAAUAACAUGAUCUGUGCUGGAGGAGACAGAGUAGACAGUUGUAAAGGUGACAGUGGAGGUCCUUUGUUUUUCCCUCCUCUGGGAAAUGGGUCCCCAGACCAGCCUUAUCGUCUUACAGGCAUAGUAUCCUGGGGUCCUCCUAAUUGUGGAGAUGAAAGCUUUAAAGGUUACUAUACGAAAGUCCAAAACUACCUGGACUGGAUUAAACAAACCAUGGAAAUUAACUAACAUCAGCAUGCUAAAAUAUUUUUUCACCUACACAAAUGUUUAUUGCAUCACGAAGUAAAGUUUCUCUUUGGAAUAUCCAAUUGUGUAAUAUACAUUUUAUGCAUCUGCACCUUUCAAAAUUAAUUCAAUAUUUUGAAAUGUAAAUGUGUCAGUGUUUUAUACUCAUCAAUAAAUCCAUUUUUAAAUGUAAAAAAAAAAAAAAAA